ACGAAGUCCGGGCCUGCAGCGAGGGUAAUACGAAGGGGGUAAACGUUAUCCUGAUUUAUGUGGUUUAAAGUGUACUUAAGCGGAGCGAGAAUUCAGAGGUUAAAGCUCACAGCUUAACUGUGAAAGUGCCGUUGAUACUGUAUGUCUUGAGUAAAUUUGAAGUGGCUGGAAUAAGUAGUGUAGCGGUGAAAUGCAUAGAUAUUACUUAGAACACCAAUUGCGAAGGCAGGUCACUAAGAUUUAACUGACGCUGAGGGACGAAAGCGUGGGGAGCGAACAGGAUUAGAUACCCCAGUAGUC
rnacentral:rRNA from 1 species